rnacentral:rRNA from 1 species
AGUUUGAUCCUGGCUCCGAUUGAACGCUGGCGGCAGGCCUAACACAUGCAAGUCGAACGGUAACAGAAAGCAGCUUGCUGCUUUGCUGACGAGUGGCGGACGGGUGAGUAAUGUCUGGGAAACUGCCUGAUGGAGGGGGAUAACUACUGGAAACGGUAGCUAAUACCGCAUAACGUCGCAAGACCAAAGAGGGGGACCUUCGGGCCUCCUGCCAUCGGAUGUGCCCAGAUGGGAUUAGCUUGUUGGUGGGGUAACGGCUCACCAAGGCGACGAUCCCUAGCUGGUCUGAGAGGAUGACCAGCCACACUGGAACUGAGACACGGUCCAGACUCCUACGGGAGGCAGCAGUGGGGAAUAUUGCACAAUGGGCGCAAGCCUGAUGCAGCCAUGCCGCGUGUAUGAAGAAGGCCUUCGGGUUGUAAAGUACUUUCAGCGGGGAGGAAGGGAGUAAAGUUAAUACCUUUGCUCAUUGACGUUACCCGCAGAAGAAGCACCGGCUAACUCCGUGCCAGCAGCCGCGGUAAUACGGAGGGUGCAAGCGUUAAUCGGAAUUACUGGGCGUAAAGCGCACGCAGGCGGUUUGUUAAGUCAGAUGUGAAAUCCCCGGGCUCAACCUGGGAACUGCAUCUGAUACUGGCAAGCUUGAGUCUCGUAGAGGGGGGUAGAAUUCCAGGUGUAGCGGUGAAAUGCGUAGAGAUCUGGAGGAAUACCGGUGGCGAAGGCGGCCCCCUGGACGAAGACUGACGCUCAGGUGCGAAAGCGUGGGGAGCAAACAGGAUUAGAUACCCUGGUAGUCCACGCCGUAAACGAUGUCGACUUGGAGGUUGUGCCCUUGAGGCGUGGCUUCCGGAGCUAACGCGUUAAGUCGACCGCCUGGGGAGUACGGCCGCAAGGUUAAAACUCAAAUGAAUUGACGGGGGCCCGCACAAGCGGUGGAGCAUGUGGUUUAAUUCGAUGCAACGCGAAGAACCUUACCUGGUCUUGACAUCCACGGAAGUUUUCAGAGAUGAGAAUGUGCCUUCGGGAACCGUGAGACAGGUGCUGCAUGGCUGUCGUCAGCUCGUGUUGUGAAAUGUUGGGUUAAGUCCCGCAACGAGCGCAACCCUUAUCCUUUGUUGCCAGCGGUCCGGCCGGGAACUCAAAGGAGACUGCCAGUGAUAAACUGGAGGAAGGUGGGGAUGACGUCAAGUCAUCAUGGCCCUUACGACCAGGGCUACACACGUGCUACAAUGGCGCAUACAAAGAGAAGCGACCUCGCGAGAGCAAGCGGACCUCAUAAAGUGCGUCGUAGUCCGGAUUGGAGUCUGCAACUCGACUCCAUGAAGUCGGAAUCGCUAGUAAUCGUGGAUCAGAAUGCCACGGUGAAUACGUUCCCGGGCCUUGUACACACCGCCCGUCACACCAUGGGAGUGGGUUGCAAAAGAAGUAGGUAGCUUAACCUUCGGGAGGGCGCUUACCACUUUGUGAUUCAUGACUGGGGUGAAGUC